rnacentral:rRNA from 1 species
UACGUAGGGUGCGAGCGUUGUCCGGAAUUAUUGGGCGUAAAGAGCUCGUAGGCGGUUUGUCGCGUCGACUGUGAAAACUGGGGGCUUAACUCUCAGCUUGCAGUCGAUACGGGCAGACUUGAGUUCGGUAGGGGAGACUGGAAUUCCUGGUGUAGCGGUGAAAUGCGCAGAUAUCAGGAGGAACACCGGUGGCGAAGGCGGGUCUCUGGGCCGAUACUGACGCUGAGGAGCGAAAGCGUGGGGAGCGAACAGGAUUAGAUACCCUGGUAGUCCACGCUGUAAACGUUGGGCGCUAGGUGUGGGGGACAUUCACGUCUUCCGUGCCGUAGCUAACGCAUUAAGCGCCCCGCCUGGGGAGUACGGCCGCAAGGCUAAA